rnacentral:tRNA from 1 species
GCUUAAGUAGUUUAAUUUAAAAUCAUGGUUUGUGGUGUCAUAGAUGUAAAGUUUUUAUCUUAGGCU